CAGGAGGAACACCGAUGGCGAAGGCAGGUCUCUGGGCCAAUACUGACACUGAGGAGCGAAAGCGUGGGGAGCGAACAGGAUUAGAUACCCUGGUAGUCCACGCCGUAAACGGUGGGCGCUAGUUGUGCGAACCUUCCACGGUUUGUGCGACGCAGCUAACGCAUUAAGCGCCCCGCCUGGGGAGUACGAUCGCAAGAUUAAAACUCAAAGGAAUUGACGGGGCCCCGCACAAGCAGCGGAGCAUGCGGCUUAAUUCGACGCAACGCGAAGAACCUUACCAAGGCUUGACAUAUACAGGAAUACGGCAGAGAUGUCGUAGCCGCAAGGUCUGUAUACAGGUGGUGCAUGGUUGUCGUCAGCUCGUGUCGUGAGAUGUUGGGUUAAGUCCCGCAACGAGCGCAACCCUCGUUCUGUGUUGCCAGCAUUUAGUUGGGGACUCACAGGAGACUGCCGGGGUUAACUCGGAGGAAGGUGGGGAUGACGUCAAAUCAUCAUGCCCCUUAUGUCUUGGGCUGCACGCAUGCUACAAUGGCUGGUACAAACGGCUGCGAUACCGCAAGGUGGAGCGAAUCCGAGAAAGCCAGUCUCAGUUCGGAUUGGGGUCUGCAACUCGACCCCAUGAAGUCGGAGUUGCUAGUAAUCGUAGAUCAGCAACGCUACGGUGAAUACGUUCCCGGGGCUUGUACACACCGCCCGUCACAUCAC
rnacentral:rRNA from 1 species